UUUUGCAAUGUAUAUAUAGAUGGGUCGCUUUGCAUUUUGACUCAAAUGUUAUGACUCAUUUUUAUUUUACAACUCCACCUAUUUAGAAAGGUUUUUUUUGUGUGGAUUUAAUAUAUACGACUUUCUAAAUAGUGAAUAGCAGGGAACCCUUAAUCAAAGCAUUUGUAUGUACCAUAUGCAGAAUUACAUGCCCAAUAAUAUCAGGAAACCAAUAUUAUGAUCUAUAAAAAAAUCCAAGAUGUGCAACUUAUGCAUUAGUGUAAGUGUGAACCUCCGACCCGUCUACCAGACGAACCGGACUAUUCACCUUUGGUUCUAACCGGUUUACUAUAUUUGUUAUGCUAAAUAAACAUAUUACUGAAUAAUACUCUUAUUCAUCUAUGAAAAAUCAAGUUUUGCAAUUAAAAUCCAUAACUUAUUCUUAAAAAUAAACUGAAACAAAAGACUAAGAAAUCUCUUAAAAAGAAGUACUGAAAAACGAAUUAAAAAGAAGGAAAACCCGUCCCUAAAGCACACCAUUUAGGACUCUUCUUCCUCGUAUACAUGAAGUUCAUAAUCUUCAUACUCACCUAAAAAUUAGAGAUUUGAGAGGGGUGAGUAAUUUGGGAAAAUUAUUUAGUGAGAAAUAAAUUCACACUCCCAUUACAAUAUCCAUUCAUUUCCAAUAUACAGUAAAAAUUCUAUAAAUAUCCAUUCAUUUCCAAUAUACAGUAAAAAAUCUAUAAAUUAAUAAUGUUAGAACUUUGAUAUUUUAUUAAUUUACAGAGUUAUUAACUUAUAGAUUUCAUAUAAAAAUUAUUUUUGUUUUUUUAUUAAUUUUAAAAGAGACUUUUAAAAGAUUAUAAUUUUAAAAUAAUUCUUUCUAAUAUUAAAGAGGAGUUUUAAGAAGACUUUAAGUUAAAAUAACUAAAAACAUCACUAACUCGUAUUUUAGUAGAUUAUCUCAUUUAUAUGUUUAUAUCAUACCUUAUUUAUAGUAAUUAUAUGAUUGUAAUGGAACCAUAUAUUUACAUAGGAGUUUUGUUUAAAUUAUUAUCUUAUUAUCUUAUCGAAUUGUGUUAUAUUUUGAAUUGGCCCAACUCGAAACCAUGAAAAUUUAUUAAUUUAUAGUGUUUAUUAAUUUAUCAAGUAUUAAUUUAUAGAGUUUCUAUUGUAUCAAGCCUAAAACUAAACAAUCAACAAGCAGUAAUCUACAAGCACACAAACAAAGCAAGCACAAACAAAGACAUUCAACGUGGUUCGCCUCAACCACCAAGCGAUGUGAUUCAUCCUAUAUUCCAGGCAUGAACCCCAGCAAACAAUAACCUAACCAUUGUGCCGUUACACAGGUCGAUCACCUAUCUCUAGCUUAUUACAAUCAUUAGGCAAUCAAUCAGGUGAUCAAACAAUUAUGCUGGUGAUUCAUCUAAUGCUUUUCUUAUCCGUUUGACUCUUUCAUGACCUUUCUUAGAUGCAGCAAAUCAACUACCUGAAUAUAUCUAGAAUCAAUACACCAAAAACGAACAAACACUAUCCUAAGAAUAUGGAUCUACUCCUCACCUUUGCCAAUUUGCAGAUCUGAAUUAAGGAGACUGAGAAUUAAGCGAAUCAAGCAGACGACGAGAAGGCAGGGGCUCGCGACGGGAUCUCCUCAGCUCAGCGGUGGCUUGCGGCGGCUAGGAGGCUUCGGAUGGCGGCAUCAGCUCGGGCAGAAGCAGCUCGGGCAAUAUCUCUCUCUCUCUUUCUGUGGCUGGGGGCUAUUUUGCAGAGAAUGAGGCUCCUUCCCUAGAAUUUUCUCUUUUAUAGAGGCAAAAUUAGGGAAUUGGGCCUCCUGCUGGGCUUUUGGAUAGGCUGAGAUGCUGUAAAACUUCUCUCUCUUCAUUAUCACGAACCUUUAAGAAAGAGAAAGAUUUCUUUUGUUUUCGGAUUUUAUUCGGAUAUGUUGUUCGGAUUGUGUUGUAUUUUUUUUUUUUUAAAAAAAAUCUUUGUCUUCUUCUUUUUUUCCUUUGCUGUCUUAGCCUCUUCUGGAUUUGGAUUCGUUUCCUCGGAAGAAGUCAUUCUAAAUCAAUUUUCUUUAGAUAACUUAUGCCCGAUUCUUCGUCUUGUGAGUGUAAAUCUUUGCUUACCGUGAUGGGCCUAUAGAUAGGUUAUUAAGCAAAGUUUCUUAACGGAUGAAAAAUGUUUUUGGUUUGUUUCUACAUCUGAUUGCAAGAUUUUAACUUUGGCUAUCAAGUAGAAGAUCCGGUUUUGAAGCUUUGGUGAGCUCGAAGGAAGGAUUUUUAACAGUAUAUGAAACCGCCGAGAGUUGAUGACUCGUGGAGUAUUAGGAGCCAACAUCGGUGGUGGUUGAAAAUUUCUGGCGAUAGCAUUAAAUCGAUGAUGGCGAUGAACUUAGGGAUGACUCAACUCGUCUAGAUGCGUGAUUGUUGUGUUGAUACGUCUUUUGUUACAUAACUGUAUUUUCAGUUUUCUGCGUGUUUGCAUUGGGCCUUUUGAGCGGUGUACCUGAACUUUGCUCGGUUGGACUUAAUAAAAAAAGUUCACAGGAAAUAAUUGUUUCAUGGAAAUUCUUUAUAUUAUGUAUUAUGUUAGACCAACCAUCGAUAUGUUAGGUGCGUUACAUAUGUUGUUUUUUCUUUAUCUUUGAAUAUAUGUAAUACACCAAACAUAUAUUUAAAAAGCUGCUGAGCUAGCAUCACUAGUAGAUUACCACAACAAAGCAAGAGGGGCUUCUAUUGUGCUUGUUUCACCAAAUAAAGGAAGAGGGUUUUUAAAA
rnacentral:lncRNA from 1 species